rnacentral:sRNA from 1 species
AUGUACCACUCGUGCACUACGGUUCCUGCGUGUCGUCCGCACCCACCCGGGGACUGCUCGCGACGUUUUGUUCGCC